CAGAGGAUUUGGGUCUUUGUUGGUUUUGGCCC
rnacentral:piRNA from 2 species